UUACGUGUUCUUACUGAAUUACAAAGAGCUACAAUGGAUGCUACCCGAACAACUCGUCAUCUGGAGGAAACUAUUGAAAAUUUUGAAAAGCAGAAAAUAAAGGAUAUAAAGACUAUAUUUUCAGAAUUUAUCACUAUGAAAUGUUAUUUCACGGCAAAGCUUUAGAGGUCUACACUGCUGCCUACCAAAAUAUACAAAAGAUUGAUGAAGAAGAAGAUUUAGAGGUUUUCCGACAUUCUCUGUAUCCCCAAGAUUAUCCAUCCCGUUUAGAUAUUGUAAGAGCAAAUUCGAAGUCACCUCUUCAAAGAUCAUUGUCAGCUAAGUGUGUAUCUGGAACAGGACAGGUAUUGACCUGUCGACUAAGAAAGGAUCAGCAAACAGAAGAAGAUGAUGAAGAGGAUGAAGACUUAGAUGUUACAGAAGAAGAAAAUUAAAUUUCUUAAGUAAACUUUGCAUUUCCAUUUUCAUCUUAAAUGACCUGGAAUCCAGAAUUACUAAAACUGAAAAACAUAAUACUGGCUUGAUACGUUAAACCUCAAAUGAAAUCCUAUUGGAAAUGUAGAAAUUAUUAAAGGAAAUUUAUGCCAACCAAAAA